rnacentral:antisense_RNA from 1 species
AAAAGCAUCAGAUGGAUUAGGGCUGAUGCCACUAAACAUCAAGGUAGUUCAUGAGCUAAAUUAAAACUUGACUGAGUAGACACAAAUUUGCAAACAAGUAGCUAGGCAUUCUAAAUACACCUCUUCAAACAAGGCUUCACGUCUACAUACUAAUGCUCUGGGAAGAAACAUGGGGCUGCACCUGAUUUCAGAAGUACCAAAGGGUAAACUCUCAAUUACUGAGUUAUGCCUGUUAAUUACUGGCAUAGCUAACAAAGCUAUGUCCCAAGGCCUCUGAUAUAAAAAUCUUGUCCUUUAAUAUUUUUCUGAAAGGCUUUCAGAAAACAUACACAUAUAAAUGGAGUCUUGACUAGUUUUCAGUAUCAAUUUUUUUUUUAUCUACAGGAGCUUCCUAUGUUUCACAAUGAUGAUUGAUUUUGCUAGUGGUUGACAGUACUGUUCAUGACAUUUCCUGUAUUAGUUCCCCUUUGGCACUUGUAUUAGUUCUAUAUUCAAUAAAUGCUACAAAACCAAA